GUGAGGAUAUGUCAUGACGAAGUCUGACCANCAAAUCGCGUGAGAGAGUAUUAUGUAUCGUAAACUCUUGUAGAGAGUAAAGUGCACUACGUGUAGUGUAUUGCAAGUACCUUACGAAUAAGCAUCGGCUAAUUCCGUGCCAGCAGCCGCGGUAAUACGGAAGAUGCAAGUGUUAUCCGGAUUUAUUGGGUUUAAAGGGUGCGUAGGUGGUCUAAUAAGUCAGUGGUGAAAUCUCUUUGCUUAACAAGGAAAUUGCCAUUGAAACUGUUAGACUUGAGAAUGGACGAGGUAGGCGGAAUUCGUAGUGUAGCGGUGAAAUGCAUAGAUAUUACGAAGAACUCCAAUAGUGUAGACUGCUUACCAGACCAUAUCUGACACUAAGGCACGAAAGUGUGGGUAUCAAACAGGAUUAGAUACCCUGGUAGUCCACACAGUAAACGAUGAAUACUAACUGUUUGCGAUAUACAGCAAGUGGUCGAGCGAAAGCGUUAAGUAUUCCACCUGGGAAGUAUGCCGGCAACGGUGAAACUCAAAGGAAUUGACGGGGGCCCGCACAAGCGGAGGAACAUGUGGUUUAAUUCGAUAAUACGCGAGGAACCUUACCCGGGCUCGAACGAUAUUUGAAUACAUCCGAAAAGAUGUAGCUAGCAAUAGCAAAUACCGAGGUGCUGCAUGGUUGUCGUCAGCUCGUGCCGUGAGGUGUCGACUUAAGUGUCAUAACGAGCGCAACCCUUACCGAUAGUUACCAUCAGAUAAUGCUGGGGACUCUAUUGGGACUGCCACCGUAAGGUGUGAGGAAGGAGAGGAUGACGUCAAAUCAGCACGGCCCUUAUGUCCGGGGCGACACACGUGUUACAAUGGGAGAAACAAAGGGUCGCUACCUGGCAACAGGAUGCUAAUCUCGAAAAUCUCUCUCAGUUCGGAUUGGAGUCUGCAACUCGACUCCAUGAAGCUGGAUUCGCUAGUAAUCGCACAUCAGCCAUGGUGCGGUGAAUACGUUCCCGGGCCUUGUACACACCGCCCGUCAAGCCAUGGAAGCUGGAAGUACCUGAAGUAUGUAACUGAAAAGAGCGUCCUAAGGUAAAUCA
rnacentral:rRNA from 1 species